rnacentral:rRNA from 1 species
AAUCCCUACGGGACCCAGCAGUAGGGAAUUUUCGUCAAUGGGCGCAAGCCUGAACGAGCGAUGCCGCGUGAGUGAAGAAGGCCUUCGGGUCGUAAAGCUCUGUUGCGGGGGAAAAAAGGCAGCAUCAGGAAAUGGGUGCUGACUGAUGGUGCCCCGCCAGAAAGUCACGGCUAACUACGUGCCAGCAGCCGCGGUAAUACGUAGGUGUCGAGCGUUAUCCGGCAUGAUUGGGCGUAA